ensembl:lncRNA
GCAGGUGUUACAGUUGAAACCAUUUAUUUAAAAGAAUAAACACUUUAAUAAUUUAGAACAAAAGAAAAAGAGAAAUUUGCAAUGUUUAAAUUCUUCUUAAAUCCAGUUAAACAAGACUAAAUUUGCUCUCUUUUUAAUGAAACAUGCAGGUGGUCAGUGUUUACAAGUACUUUAGAUGAUAUACAAUGUAUGAUAUAGACCAUAUGUCCAGAAAAACUGGACAUAAUUUAUCAUGAUAAUGAUAUAUAUUGUCAUAUUGCUUUAGUGCUAAUAUACUGAAUUUUGAAACUAACAUUAUUAACAUGAGGCAGAUUUUCAACCAUUUGUUUUUGCUUCGACUGAAAGACAUCUAAUUGAGAGACCACUGUAUCACAUUAAACUGAAUUAUGAAUGUUGUGAAUCGUUACAGCCCUAGUUGCUGGUACAAAAAAAUAUGUCAUGCUAAAAUUUUAUUUUAAAAAAUUUGAGCUAAAAAAACUAAAUAAAAUAAAGAAAACAGAAAUAGUACAGAGCUGACCUAUUAGUUAAUGGUUAACACAUUAAAAAAUAUUGUUUAUUUUCUAAGGUUGAAUGCUCUAAUACACAAAAAAGUGGUAACAUUAAUAAGAUCAACAUAAUUCAGAUGUGAUUGAAUCGUAUUAAAACUGAAUUAUGAAUUUGUGAAUCGUUACUGGUAGAGAACAGAAAACAUGUUAGAUUGUGCCUGAAAACCAUUGUUUAGUGAUUGAGUUGUUUAUUGAUCGUUUUUAUGCUGUCGAUCUGCCUUAAAGCUGAACGUCACGAAACCGCCAAUGAGGCCGAGGAAGCCGAACUGGUCGACGGAGCAGAAGCUGCUGCUGGUGCAGCUGGUGAAGGCAAGGAGAGAAGAUCUGCUGACCGGCAGACACUCUUGUCGAGAGAUUGCCACCAACAGGAGGUGGGCGUGGGACGAGAUAGCCGAGGAAAUCUCCACCGCUCACCCUGACGUCCCACGCACGGGGAAGGAGUGCGAGAGACACUGGUUUGUAGAGCUCGCCAAGGCCAAAGAGCUGAUGCUGACGCACAGAUCACACACAGGCCACAUCAGUCCAGUUACUAAGGUCGUGCUUGAAAUUCUCAAACUACAGAGAAAAGAGGCUGAUUUUAAAGACAGGACUGAAGAAGACAAUACAACCUUUGAAGAAGAAGAAGAACCACAGGAGGAGAUGAAGUAUGUUCCAACUGCGAUCACUCCCAUCAUAAACAUUGAGCUGCCCGUCAACCACACGAAUGACAUGAGCAGGCUGGAAAAUGCUCCCAUGAGUCCUCCGUGCUCGCCCUCACCCUCUGCAGAGAAGAGAGAUCUGGAGAUAUCGGUUCUUCGCCGGCAGGAACGUGUGUUACAGUUACAGGAGGAGUACUACUCCCUCAAAAUCAAACACCUCAAAGCACGGAUGCUGAUGGACCUUUGAUGGGAAAGCUCUUCCUGAUGGAAAAAGACUCUUUUUUUGCCUUAAUAAACACUAGUUUAGAAAUCUUAGGACCGGACUGCUGAACCAAAAGACAUGCGUUAGGACUGUGGUUCGUUUGUUCUAUGUAGCCUUCUGCUGGAUUCAGGCCCUGGAGCUGCAGUGUUCUGGCAUAGGAAGUUCUCAGACAUGACACCUUUCCACCAGUAGAUGGCAAGGUGGUAACUCUAUAUUCUCACUCAAAAUGCUGUACAUAGAAGUAGAAAAUCCAGGCAGGGACUGUUGUCGCUGUUAUCCGAACUGAGACCUGUGCUUGCUGCCUGUUUAGACCUAUAAGUAGGAUUUGAAUGUUAAAGAAUUAGUGCUAUAUGUUUAGUUUUUCAUGGAUGAGUUUAAACUCAGAGCUCCAGGUGGGAAUGUGAGACUCAAGGCCAGUUUUUGAGUUGUACACUGAUGUGCAUUUGCCAUUCAUGAUGACUGUUUUUAAUUGGGACUUUUAAUCUGACUUACUUAUGAAAGCACAUGAUGCAAUGUUUGAUCCAUUAGUUGAUCAGUAGGCCUGGGUGAUAGGGUGAUGAACGGUGCAUCAAAGGCCAUAAUCACCAUUUCAGGAAAGAGAACAGCGGCUGUAUUACAGAAACUUUCUCUCUUUUUGUCCUAAGAAAGGAUAUGACGGGUCAAGAUAAGAUUUUUCACAAAUUCAUAUCACUGAAGCAAAUCUGAUCUUAAUUUAGGGUUUUAUCUGGUCUUACAGAAUCUUAUCUCCAGUUAAUAAAUCUUAACCUACUCGUUCAAAGUCAUCUGUCGUGUCUGUCUCCUAGCAACCGACCAUAAAAACACAAAUGUAAACACAAUCAAAAUAAUGUUAAAAUGUGAGUUAAGCUGCCAUUACAGAACUAAAAAGUGAUAAAUAGUAAGUAGUGAAUACUGUGAGAGCGCCCCCUGCUGUUUAUCAAAGCAUCGCCGCUUCCCAGUUUCAGUCUCCAUUCCCCAAAAGUUUUAGCCAAGAGCGCUCAUGCUACUCCUAAUAAACAAACGCAUGUUCAGCUCCACCUCCUCAUUAUUCACCACCAUCGUUGUAAUAUUCCAUCAUCGACAUUAACACAAUAAGGUGAUCAGAGGGGUGGUAGAGUUCGAGUUGGCAGCGUCUGAGAUUUUAAAAACGCAGUUAGAAAAGAAAAACAUCUCCCAGUGAAAGCCGCGUUUUACAGUAGAAAUAAACGGAGCUCAUUAUGCUGGUAGUGAACAACGCCGCCUGACUCAGCCGCCUAAAAACCAGAGAAACAGACCUUAAACAGAAGUUAGGACCCUGUUGGGGUUCAUCCUAAAGUUAGGACAGGAUUUAGGAGGUUUAGUCUAGUUAGGAUGUUUGUGUGAUGUGUUUUCUGAUCUGGACUUAAUGAUGAAAUAAUGUUAGGAGCUGAUAUUCUGGAAUAGAUACUGUCUUCUGUUCAGUCCGUCAUGUAGACUAAACCGAAAAAGAUAAGAUUUCAGAGUUGAGAUGUUUCAGUAAUACGGCCGCUGAUGUUAAAACUAUUUUUUUGGAAAUAUAUUUGAAGUAGUACAUAAACAGUGCUAAAACUUGUGAUUUUUAGAAGGAAGAACCAGUCGCGAUUACGAUGUUUGCAGUAACAACUUUCAAAGUAAUAGAAAUGAUAUGAUCAGUUUUGUUUUGUUUAACAAGAAAAUAUUGUGCCGAUUUAUUUUAUAUUGCCCAGGCCUAUUUUGAGACCCGGCCAGAUAUAUUGGCUAUUAUUAAAUAGGGCUGGGUAUCAUUCAGAUGUUGACUUCAAUGCUGCUAUAAGCUGUACGAUCAUCUUUAUUGGCUCUGAGUACUUGGGUAUUGAAAUUUGGUAUUCAGUGACCGUGUCAUAAAGGUGCAGUAUAUGAUUCUGGAGAAUGAUUGGUGAUCUUUGAACUUGAGCAAAACAAACAUAAGUUCAUAGAUGCACAUUGGACUGAAAAACAUUCUUUUUUUAGUUAAAUGCCAUGAUAUAACGUUAGAGCGAACAAUGACACAGUAGGUAAUGUAACGUUAGCCAAGUUGUGGGGUACUGAGGCUAAAAUUGCUGCUGUGAAGCUAAGCACAAACAGCACAAACAAUACUGACACAUUUAUUCCCUGAAACAGCAAAAAUAAGUUGAUGUUUCUGCUUGCCAGCUGCAACAGAGCAGCCUCCUCAUCCCUUUUCAGGCCUUUCAACUUUCCAUCAAGCUGAAGUCAGCUUCUUGUUCAGUUUUUUCAUUUCCAUCUUAAAUGGUGCAAGUUAGGCUAUAUUCAGAUGUCUCCGCUCCUUUUUCGAAUUUUUCCCAUUCCACCUUAAAUGGUGUAACAGUUAGGCUGUAUUCAGGCACCUCAGCUUCUUGUUCGAAUUUUCCUGUUCCACCUUAAAUAGUGCAACAGUUAGAUUAUAUUCAGGCACCUCAGCUUCUUGUUCGAAUUUUCCUGUUCUACCUUAAAAAGUGCAACAGUUAGACUAUAUUCAGGCACCUCGGCUUCUUGUUUGAAUUUUCCUUUUCCAUCUUAAAUGGUGCAACAGUUAGGCUAUGUUCUGGCACCUCUGCUUCUUGUUCGAAUUUUCCUGUUCCACCUUAAAUAGUGCAACAGUUAGACUAUAUUCAGGCACCUCAGCUUCUUGUUCGAAUUUUCCUGUUCCACCUUAAAAAGUGCAACAGUUAGACUAUAUUCAGGCACCUCUGCUUCUUGUUCAAAUUUUCCUGUUCCACCUUAAUUCAAGGUAGAAUUUGGAAGAUAUGAAUAAAAAGACAACUACAGCUCUCAUCAAUAUCCUCACCUGAUUUGAGAGCUACUUUCUCAGUCUUUGUUCUUCAGAUUUUCUCCUCUUUGGCUGUUUCCCAGCACAUAGCCCCUCCCCUUCCCCUUGUCCUGUGCACGAGCAGGAGUGCCCCCUGUUGCUGAUAGGCUGGAAUAGUGUUUUGUCGUUCAGUCCGAAACACUUUGUUUCCCAUUUACAGAUCCAGCACUCACUUUGGGCAGUCGUGGGCUGGAGGUUAGGGAACCAGCCCUGUGCUCACUAGUGUGUAUGUGGUGUUUCACUGCAUGGAUGGGUUAAAUGUGGAGGUGAAAUUUCCCCGUUGUGGGACUAAUAAGGGUCACUUAAUUAGAACGGAGAGCCCGGGGACGGUGAGGACAUAUUAGCAACUUAACAAAGUGUAUUGGAUUGAUAUUGUAUACUGCACCUUUAAAUGAAUAAGUAGUUAAUAAAUAUAACAGUGUUUACUGAGUAGUAUGAAGUACUAUAAACGUAUCAGAUAUCCAGCCGUGUUAGCAGCUGGUUCGAGCCCUGCGUAGGUGCCUGAUUCCCAUCUAAGGAUUAAAGAAGUGUUCUCUAAU